GAUGAACGCUGGCGGCGUGCCUAAUACAUGCAAGUCGAGCGAACGGACGAGAAGCUUGCUUCUCUGAUGUUAGCGGCGGACGGGUGAGUAACACGUGGAUAACCUACCUAUAAGACUGGGAUAACUUCGGGAAACCGGAGCUAAUACCGGAUGAUAUUUUGAACCGCAUGGUUCAAAGGUGAAAGACGGUCUUGCUGUCACUUAUAGAUGGAUCCGCGCUGCAUUAGCUAGUUGGUAAGGUAACGGCUUACCAAGGCAACGAUGCAUAGCCGACCUGAGAGGGUGAUCGGCCACACUGGAACUGAGACACGGUCCAGACUCCUACGGGAGGCAGCAGUAGGGAAUCUUCCGCAAUGGGCGAAAGCCUGACGGAGCAACGCCGCGUGAGUGAUGAAGGUCUUCGGAUCGUAAAACUCUGUUAUUAGGGAAGAACAUAUGCGUAAGUAACUGUGCACAUCUUGACGGUACCUAAUCAGAAAGCCACGGCUAACUACGUG
rnacentral:rRNA from 1 species